rnacentral:rRNA from 1 species
GUAGGGAAUAUUGCACAAUGGACGAAAGUCUGACGCAGCGACGCCGCGUGAGUGAUGAAGGCCUUAGGGUCGUAAAGCUCUGUUGAAUGGGAAGAAAAAAAUGACGGUACCAUUCGAGGAAUGACCGGCUAACUUCGUGCCAGCAGCCGCGGUAAUACGAGGGGUCCUAGCGUUGUUCGGAAUCAUUGGGCGUAAAGGUUGUGUAGUUGGCCAUGUAAGUCAGUUGUGAAAGCCCCGGGCUCAACCCGGGAAGUGGAAUUGAUAGUGCGUGGCUUGAGGACCGAAGAGGGUAGUGGAAUUCCAGGUGUAGUGGUGAAAUACGUAGAUAUCUGGAGGAACACCGGUGGCGAAGGCGGCUACCUGGUCGAGUACUGACACUGAGACACGAAAGCAUGGGGAUCAAACAGGAUUAGAAACCCGGGUAGUCC